UAGUCCACGCCGUAAACGAUGUCAACUAGCCAUUGGGGGGCUUGACCCUUUAGUGGCGCAGCUAACGCAAUAAGUUGACCGCCUGGGGAGUACGGCCGCAAGGUUAAAACUCAAAUGAAUUGACGGGGGCCCGCACAAGCGGUGGAGCAUGUGGUUUAAUUCGAUGCAACGCGAAGAACCUUACCAGGUCUUGACAUCCUGAAAACUUUCUAGAGAUAACUUGGUGCCUUCGGGAACUGAGUGACAGGUGCUGCAUGGCUGUCGUCAGCUCGUGUCGUGAGAUGUUGGGUUAAGUCCCGCAACGAGCGCAACCCUUGUCCCUAGUUGCCAGCACAUAAUGGUGGGAACUCUAGGGAGACUGCCGGUGACAAACCGGAGGAAGGUGAGGAUGACGUCAAGUCAGCAUGCCCCUUACGCUCUGGGCUACACACGUGCUACAAUGGUCGUGACAAAGAGUUGCUAGUCUGCGAAGGCAAGCCAAUCUCAUAAACGCGGCCUUAGUCGG
rnacentral:rRNA from 1 species